rnacentral:misc_RNA from 1 species
AACUGAUACUACCUGCGGGAACCUGCGGAAGGAUCAUUACCGAGUUAGGGUCUCUCAGGCCCGACCUCCCACCCUGUGUUUUUAUGACCUUGUUGCUUUGGCGGGCCCGCCUCGACGAGAGGCUGCCGGAAGCUCACCGCUUUGGGCCCGUGCCCGCCAGUAGCCCCUUAAAUUCUUAACAAUCCUGUCGUCUGAGUCUAUGGAUAAUGAAACAAAACUUUCAACAAUGGAUCUCUAGAU